GACGAACGCUGGCGGCGUGCUUAACACAUGCAAGUCGAACGGAAAGGCCUGCUUUCCCUUGUGGAUUGCGGGUACUCGAGUGGCGAACGGGUGAGUAACACGUGAGUGAUCUGCCCCCAACUUGGGUAUAAGCCUGGGAAACUGGGUCUAAUUCCCGAUAGGACUGCAGGGUGUGCCUGUGGUGGGAAAAGAUUUUCUAGUUGGUGGGGAUGAGCUCGCGGCCUAUCAGCUUGUUGGUGGGGUAAUGGCCUACCAAGGCGGCGACGGGUAGCCGGCCUGAGGGGGUGGACGGCCACAUUGGGACUGAGAUACGGCCCAGACUCCUACGGGAGACAGCAGUGGGGAAUAUUGCACAAUGGGCGGAAGCCUGAUGCAGCGACGCCGCGUGGGGGAUGACGGCCUUCGGGUUGUAAACUCCUUUCGACCGCGAGGAAGCCACCUGGUUGGAAGGGUGGUGACGGUAGUGGUAGAAGAAGCACCGGCUAACUACGUG
rnacentral:rRNA from 1 species